rnacentral:ribozyme from 14 species
AAUCAAAUGAAUUCUCAAUUUUCCAUUUUUAAUUUCUAAUGUUUAAAAGACAAUUUAAAAAAAAUAAAAAAUAAAAACUAGCCUAUGUUGUUCCUUCGCUUUUGAGAU